rnacentral:rRNA from 2 species
UUUCCAGAGAUGGAUUGGUGCCUUCGGGAACCGUGAGACAGGUGCUGCAUGGCUGUCGUCAGCUCGUGUUGUGAAAUGUUGGGUUAAGUCCCGCAACGAGCGCAACCCUUAUCCUUUGUUGCCAGCGAUUCGGUCGGGAACUCAAAGGAGACUGCCAGUGAUAAACUGGAGGAAGGUGGGGAUGACGUCAAGUCAUCAUGGCCCUUACGACCAGGGCUACACACGUGCUACAAUGGCGCAUACAAAGAGAAGCGACCUCGCGAGAGCAAGCGGACCUCAUAAAGUGCGUCGUAGUCCGGAUUGGAGUCUGCAACUCGACUCCAUGAAGUCGGAAUCGCUAGUAAUCGUGGAUCAGAAUGCCACGGUGAAUACGUUCCCGGGCCUUGUACACACCGCCCGUCACACCAUGGGAGUGGGUUGCAAAAGAAGUAGGUAGCUUAACCUUCGGGAGGGCGCUUACCACUUUGUGAUUCAUGACUGGGGUGAAGUCGUAACAAGGUAACCGUAGGGGAACCUGCGGUUGGAUCACCUCCUUACCUUAAAGAAGC